UCCCUGGUGGCUCAGAUGGUAAAGAAUCUGCUUGCAAUGCAGGAGACCCAGGUUCAAUCCCUGGGUUGGGAA
rnacentral:tRNA from 1 species